UCAGUGUUCUUAAAAUAGCUGCCAUAGUACUUGACAACAUAGGGGCUGUCACAUUGCUGCAUUAUAGAGAUUUCUUUAAUUAUCUCUUGAAGGUCAGACUCCACAGGGACCUGCUUAAUUGCUACAACUUGUCCAGACUCUUUGUGUAUUGCUUUAAACACGCUACCAUAAGACCCUUCACCAAGUUUCUCCAGAACAUCAAAGACCUCUUCAGGCUGCUUAGUUAAACUGUCCUCACUGAGCUUUUUCAGUUUGCUCUUGGGCGCUGCCUGCUCCAUGCCGCCGCCGUCCCCCGGCCGCCGUCUGGGCAGCACCGGGCCGGCGCCCGCCCAACUCCUCGCAACUUUUCCUGCGCGCGCAGCUGGCCCUUUAAGCGCGGCUCGCGCCCUCCCUCGGCCGCGGACGUCGCCGGCCUCUCAGGCAACCGCCGCUACCGCUGCCUACCCCGGG
rnacentral:lncRNA from 1 species